UGGUAUUUGUAUUACUAUAGGAAUGGUCA
rnacentral:piRNA from 1 species